rnacentral:rRNA from 1 species
UAGUCCUAGCUGUAAACGAUGGAUACUAGUUGCUGGGAGAGUCAAUCCUUUUAGUGACGAAGCUAACGCAUUAAGUAUCCCACCUGGGGAGUACGCUCGCAAGGGUGAAACUCAAAGGAAUUGACGGGGGCCCGCACAAGCGGUGGAGCAUGUGCUUUAAUUCGAUGCAACGCGAAGAACCUUACCUGGGUCUGACAUGGGGGUGAAAGCAACUAGAGAUAGAUGCCUUUCCUUCGGGAACACUCCACACAGGUGCUGCAUGGUUGUCGUCAGCUCGUGUCGUGAGAUGUUGGGUUAAGUCCCGCAACGAGCGCAACCCCGCCCUUAGUUGCCAGCGAGUAAUGUCGGGAACUCUAGGGGGACAGCUUGGUAUAACCAGGAGGAAGGUGGGGAUGACGUCAAAUCAUCAUGGCUCUUACGCCCAGGGCUAGACACGUGCUACAAUGGCCGGCACAGCGGGACGCAAGCCUGCGAAGGUGAGGCUAAUCUCUAAAAACCGGUCUA